GUUCGCGCAGACGGGUUGAGUGUUAGUGUGCUUCAAACUGUGAUCUAUUUCAGUUCGAAAAAAAAAAAAUGUAUCCAUGCGAAACCAAUUUUGAGGGCUACGGUACUUGGUACCAGAUGGCAGUAAUGGUAUACGGGGAGAGGGAUUUGAGAAGGGCGGUUCGACUCUUGAUGGGGUUGGCGCGUCCUGUCCAUCCGCGAGAAGCCUUAUUUUUGGCUUCAUGUCUGGUGACCCUGUUUGGCUCUCUGCCUCCUGAGGUGGUGGAGGCGGUCGUCUUUUUCGGUUUCCAGGACCUCGCGAUGGUCGCGGAGGUGUUCGCUCCUAACCACGAGGAUAUUGAUCGAUUAAGGAUCGCCUUGCUCGAGGCUAUCUUUAAUGGUUUGGUCACCAGGGGGUAGAGGCCAGACAUAUUGGGUGUUAUUGCUUCCGCCGAGAGCCGAACGCGUCUUCUUUUCAUAAAGACGAGAAAAAUUUCUCUUACAUAUAAAAAAAAUGUUUUUUUUUUUGUUUUUGAGGAAAAAAAAAUA